rnacentral:lncRNA from 1 species
CGCGACUGCAGUUACCGAGUUUCUAAGGCCUCGUCCCCUGACGGGAAGGCGGCGUUGGGGGGCGGCUGGGUUUACCCUUCGAGAGACGGGGCUUCGCCAUCUUUCCCAGGCUGGUCUCAAACUCCUGAGCUCAAGUGACCCUCCUGCCUUGGCCUCCCAGAGUGCUGGGAUUACAGGCAUGAGCAAUGGUGCCUGGCCCAAAAUUCAUACAUUAGCAAAAGUAGGGAGAAUAAAGUAAUGAACACUCAUUUUCCACCUUCAGCAAUAUCAACGUGG